rnacentral:lncRNA from 1 species
GUCUGCUUGUCGAACAAAGGAUUGGGCCUACGUUAUUCACUAGGGUGAAUCAAUAAUUUUAAUUAUUUAAUUAAUCAAUAAUUCACACAGGGUGAAUCACAGCUCCGUGGCCGUAACUGUAGAAGGCUAUGGCCUUGAUGGUGGUUGAUCAUUCGGCUUCCUGAUUGUAAUGAUUUUGUUUUGGAAUUCCACUGUUGCCGAAAUAUCUUCUCCUACUACCUCUACCAUUAUCAAACCUUUUAUCACUUAUAUAUCAAUGGACUAAAGCACCAGUUUCAACAGAUAUAGAAACAGAAAGGAGAAAGGUGAUGUAAUUACUAAUUACGGUCAAUUGAGUUCGACUGUAUCACGAAGUGAAGCAUCUAUCCAGAUGUCGUUCAAGAUUUUCAUCACAAAUUGUCAUCACGACCCCAAGAAUAACUCGCCUGCUGCGAUCUACCGGUUCUACCCAUUGACUAAAACGGAUCUUGAAGCUAAAGGAUUUGAAAACCGUGCUGUUCCACAUGUCCAGAAGCUGAGUGACUGGCACCUUUAAAAUAUGAAACUUCACUUCAGCCUUCCAAUCUAGGACUUGUAUCUAAUUGUGCAGGCUGCGUGGAAUUCUCAUUUACCUUUGCUGUGAAUGUCAAUUGGAUGUACACUCUUGAAGGCUAGUAAGACGAAUUUUGAUGCUGAAAAACUUGGAAACUAUGCUGUUCACCAUGUCGAGAAGCUGAGUAACAUUCUGCAUGUACAAUGUUGUGAAUGGCACCUCUUAAUGUUAGGAACUUCAGCCAUCCAAUCUAGGACUUGCAUCCAAUCGUGCAGGCUGCAUGGAAGUCUCAUUUACCUUUGCGUGAGCAUCAUGAACACAGACACUAUUUGAAGGUUCAUGUUUACAUAGCAGUGGUGUUGCUGUCCAAUGUGGCGUGUUGUUGCAGCCUAUGGUGGUGAAAGAUACCUGCAUCAAGUUGCUGUUCCUUGUGCAUCCAUGGUGCUGGUUUUGUGCUACAAAAGUGACAUCCAGUAUUGUGUUAAAUUGCUAUUUGUGUCUGCAGUUUACCUUUUAAAUAUUGAGAAGGAAUCAAAAAAGUAAUAUGGGAAGUUUAUGUCAAACAAAUAAUAAACAUGUCCGCGAUGGGGGAAUGAGGAGGAAGUUGGGGUGGGAUAUUUGGUUAAGAUUUACUAAAAGAAGUGAGGUAUAUAUUUUUUAAUGAAUAUGCAGAACUCGCUGAUAAAAUCUGUUGUCAACCCAUAUAACCUUCCCCACUUACACAUCCAUUCCUCAAACCUUAUAAGCCUCAAUAUUAAAUUCCACAUCCAUUCCUCAAACC